rnacentral:hammerhead_ribozyme from 1 species
AUUCAGCUGAAAAGUUCAAAAUAGGAGGAAAUGCGCGUCGUGGAU